AAAUUGAAGAGUUUGAUCAUGGCUCAGAUUGAACGCUGGCGGCAGGCCUAACACAUGCAAGUCGAACGGUAACAGGAAGCGCUUGCUGCUUCGCUGACGAGUGGCGGACGGGUGAGUAAUGUCUGGGAAACUGCCUGAUGGAGGGGGAUAACUACUGGAAACGGUAGCUAAUACCGCAUAACGUCGCAAGACCAAAGAGGGGGACCUUCGGGCCUCUUGCCAUCGGAUGUGCCCAGAUGGGAUUAGCUUGUUGGUGGGGUAACGGCUCACCAAGGCGACGAUCCCUAGCUGGUCUGAGAGGAUGACCAGCCACACUGG
rnacentral:rRNA from 1 species